ACUCCUUUUCUCAGAGAAGAAUUUUGACGGUAUACUGAGGAAUAAGCAUCGGCUAACUCCGUGCCAGCAGCCGCGGUAAGACGGGGGAUGCAAGUGUUAUCCGGAAUAAUUGGGCGUAAAGCGUCUGUAGGUGGUUUACCAAGUCUGUUGUUAAAAAUCAGGGCUUAACCCUGAUCCGGCAACAGAAACUAGUAGGCUGGAGUACGGUAGGGGCAGAGGGAAUUCUCGGUGUAGUGGUGAAAUACGUAGAUAUCGAGAAGAACACCAAUAGCGAAAGCACUCUGCUGGGCCGAAACUGACAUUGAGAGACGAAAGCUAGGGGAGCG
rnacentral:rRNA from 1 species